rnacentral:rRNA from 1 species
UACGUAGGAUCCAAGCGUUAUCCGGAAUUACUGGGCGUAAAGCGUACGUAGGUGGAGAUUUAAGUGAGAUGCGAAAUCUGGCGGCUCAACCGUCUAGACUGUGUCUCAUACUGGGUUUCUUGAGGUUGGCAGAGGCAAGUGGAAUUUCCGGUGUAGCAGUGAAAUGCGUUGAUAUCGGAAGGAACGCCGGUGGCGAAAGCGGCGUACUGGCCCUCUUCUGACGCUGAGGCGCGAAAGCUAGGGGAGCAAACGGG